GCUAGGAUGAACGCUGGCGGCGUGCUUAAUACGUGCAAGUCGAACGAAGACAUCUCGCCGAAGCUUGCUUCAGUUGAGAUAUCUUAGUGGCGGACGGGUGAGUAACGCGUGGGUAACCUGCCUUACACAGGGGGAUAACAGUUAGAAAUGACUGCUAAUACCGCAUAAGCGCACAUUAUCGCAUGAUAGAGUGUGAAAAGAUUUAUCGGUGUAAGAUGGACCCGCGUCUGAUUAGCUAGUUGGUGAGGUAACGGCCCACCAAGGCGACGAUCAGUAGCCGGCCUGAGAGGGUGAACGGCCACAUUGGGACUGAGACACGGCCCAAACUCCUACGGGAGGCAGCAGUAGGGAAUAUUGGACAAUGGGGGAAACCCUGAAUCCAGCGACGCCGCGUGAGUGAAGAAGUAUUUCGGUACGUAAAGCUCUAUCAGCAGGGAAGAAAAUGACGGUACCUGACUAAGAAGCACCGGCUAAAUACGUGCCAGCCGCGGC
rnacentral:rRNA from 1 species